rnacentral:rRNA from 1 species
AAUAGAUACCCUGGUAGUCCACCCCGUAAAUGUUGGGAACUAGUUGUGGGGUCCUUUCCACGGAUUCCGUGACGCAGCUAACGCAUUAAGUUCCCCGCCUGGGGAGUACGGCCGCAAGGCUAAAACUCAAAGGAAUUGACGGGGACCCGCACAAGCGGCGGAGCAUGCGGAUUAAUUCGAUGCAACGCGAAGAACCUUACCAAGGCUUGACAUACACCAGAACACCCUAGAAAUAGGGGACUCUUUGGACACUGGUGAACAGGUGGUGCAUGGUUGUCGUCAGCUCGUGUCGUGAGAUGUUGGGUUAAGUCCCGCAACGAGCGCAACCCUCGUUCUAUGUUGCCAGCACGUAAUGGUGGGAACUCAUGGGAUACUGCCGGGGUCAACUCGGAGGAAGGUGGGGAUGACGUCAAAUCAUCAUGCCCCUUAUGUCUUGGGCUUCACGCAUGCUACAAUGGCCGGUACAAAGGGCUGCAAUACCGUGAGGUGGAGCGAAUCCCAAAAAGCCGGUCCCAGUUCGGAUUGAGGUCUGCAACUCGA